GACGAACGCCGGCGGCGUGCUUAACACAUGCAAGUCGAGCGAUGAAGUUCCUUCGGGAACGGAUUAGCGGCGGACGGGUGAGUAACACGUGGGUAACCUGCCUCAUAGAGGGGAAUAGCCUUCCGAAAGGAAGAUUAAUACCGCAUAAGAUUGUAAUGCCGCAUGGCAUAGCAAUUAAAGGAGUAAUCCGCUAUGAAAUGGACCCGCGGCGCAUUAGCUAGUUGGUGAGGUAACGGCUCACCAAGGCGACGAUGCGUAGCCGACCUGAGAGGGUGAUCGGCCACAUUGGGACUGAGACACGGCCCAGACUCCCACGGGAGGCAGCAGUGGGGAAUAUUGCACAAUGGGGGAAACCCUGAUGCAGCAACGCCGCGUGAGUGAUGACGGUCUUCGGAUUGUAAAACUCUGUCUUCAGGGACGAUAAUGACGGUACCUGAGGAGGAAGCCACGGCUAACUACGUGCCAGCCGCCGCAGUAA
rnacentral:rRNA from 1 species